ensembl:lncRNA
CUAGCUCCCGGAGCUUACUCAACCUCAUGUCCAUCGAGUCGGUGAUGCCAUCCAUCCAUCUCACCUGUGCCGUCCCUGCCCCUCCUGCCUUCAAUCUCUCACAGCAUCAGGGUCUUUUCCAGUGAGUCAGAUCUUUGUAUCAGGUGGCCAAACUAUCAGAGUUUCAGCUUCAGCAUCAGUCCUUCCAGUGAAUAUUCAGCACUGAUUUCCUUUAGGAUGGAUUGGUUGGAUCCCCUUGCAGUGCAAGGGACUCUCAAGAGUCUUUUCCAACAGCACAGGUCAAAAGCACCAAUUCGUCAGUGCUCAGCUUUCUUUAUGGUCCAGAUCUCCCAUCCAUACAUGACCACCAGAAAAACGAGGUAGCCCAGUGUGACAGUUAAUUUUGUGCAUCAACUUGACUGGGUCAGAGGACCAGUUAAUUGGUCUGACCUCAAACAAGAUGUUGCCAUGAAGGUAGUUUUCUUUACUGACAAAGGUUAAUCCAGGGAGCAGGUAAUCUCUGACAAAGGUUAAGCUCUGGUUUCCCAGGAGUCAUAUAUGGAUAGGAGGGUUGGACCAUAAUGAAGACUGAGCGUCAGAGGAUUGAUGCUUCUGAACUGCGGGGUUGGAGAAGGUUCUGGAAAGUCCCUUUGACUGCAAGGAAAUCAAACCAGUCGAUCCUAAAGGAAAUCAGUCCUGAAUAUUGGAAGGACUGAUGUUGAAGCUGAAGCUCCAAUAUUUUGGCCACCAGAUGCAAACACCUGACUCAUUGGACAAGACCUUGAUGCUGGGAAAGACUGAGGGCUGGAGGAGAAGGGGGUGACAGAGGAUGAGAUGGUUGCAUGGCAUCACCGACUCGAUGAGUUUGAGCAGACUCUGGGAAUCGGUGAUGGACAGGGAGGCCUGGCGUGUUGCACUCCAUGGGGUCACAAAGACUUGGACAUGACUGAGGGUUCCUGCUGAACUGAACAAGAGGUUUCUUUUGUUAAGGAAUCCUUUGAACAGAAAAUGAAGAAAUCUGUUCUGGAUGGUGGUGCAAACAGCAACCUGAAGGAGAGCCAGCAGCAGUCGGGGGCUUUCCACGGUUCUUGUCUCAGACUCACCUGAUUCCUCAGCCACGUCUCCCCCUGCUUAGAGCUGGGUCACGCCUGCCCUGCCCCUGGCAUGCAGCUCUGAGGCUCUGAGAGCUGAGUGUGCGUGGUUCCAGCUCAGAGAAGUGUUGGCGGUGGGUGUCAAGGGAAAAGGGCUCUCGCCACCGGGGCCUGUUGCCCAGAGUCACCAGUUAUGAGCCCGGGCACCCAGGACUGACUGCUUGUGAGUAAACAGGUGUCUUGUUUUCCGAUAACCGAUCACCACAAACUCAGGGAGAAUGUGUCCUGGAACCUCGCCGUACGCAGGACAUUAACAUACGCUCCAUAUCAUGUAUGUAAUUCACAUGUAAUGUGAUCAACAACAGCACUUAGCGCCAGGGUGUGUGCACGUUCACCUGAGAUGCAUCCAGGGAUCCCAACUGGGCUUCCCCAGGGUCCUGGUUCUGCUCAUGGAGCAGGUAAUCUCUGGCCGGGGUGGGGGUCGGGCUGGUGGGGGAUACAGGAAUCACAUAAACUCUCAUCGUGACAAAGUCUCUGCUGGGUCUGGAAAAUUCUGUGAAAUUGCUGGUGAAGCAUUUUCACGUUCGUUUCUGUAUACGCCCUUCCCUGUAUUCCCCAGGCCAGGUUAGAUUCAGCCCAAAGAGACUUUUCCUGUCUUCCUCCGGUUAUCGUGGUUUGUGCCCUUCUGGGCUGAAUGAGUCUGUGACAUCAUUAUCAGCUGGUGGGCACUGUCCCCCUUGAAGACAGGUGGCACGCCCGGAGGUGUUUCUGUUGUCCUAAUGGAGGGAGGCACAGCUGGCCUCUAGUGGAGGGGCACAGGAGCCACGUCAGGAAUGGUCAUCUGACCCCACUUGUCAGCGGUGCUGCCUGUGAGCAAAGCUGCCUGGACACGAAAUCGGGCCCAUUUCACGUCGGAACCCACCCCAUCUCCAGCACAGCGAUGUGUCUGGAGGUUUCUUUUGGGGGGCCUAGUGGGUGACAUGCAAAGUCCCUUUUAGUAUUUCGCAUCAACAGAGGUGGAGACAGAUAUUUACCAAGCUUCCCUGCCUGGAGCCGGUGUGAGGACCUCCGUCCGUGGCAAAGGUCAUGAGGAAGGAGGCUUCAGCAUACGCAAAGGUGGGAUUGAGCCUCUGGAAACCCCCUGUUCCCGAGCAUCUACCCCCAAAACCAGAAUCUGCCUACUUUACUGUUUCAUUCUCUCAUCUACACUUCUGACUUUACGGGGGGCUGUCCCCCAGCACCUCUUUCGGAGAAGGAGUUAGCUUGCAGCUCCAGUCAAUAAAAAUUCCUGGGCGUGACAAGAGUGUUUCAACUUACAAACUCCUCUGAAGAUUAUCUAGCCUGCCUGAACAGGUUCGUCUGGCCACAUGUGAUUGUUUACAGCCUCCCAACUGUGAGAGGCAUGAGAUAUUUUAAACUUACUAAAGGCAGAUAUUUUUAGGAAGUUAGAAAUUAUUAGUAUAGUGGGUUGGUUAGAAAUUAUACUGGUGAAGGGUUUUCAUUAGUUGGGCCAAUAUUUGCUGCUAAGUCUCCAUAUUCCCUGCCCUUAUAAUGAAUAUAACUAGCAUAUAGGAGAAAUAAAUAUUAACCUUUAAGAUUAAUCAUAUUAACCUUAAGGUAAGUAAAUUCUUCUCUUAACUGUAACCCACUACACCCUCACCCUAUAGGAAUGCAAUUUUAUCUGGUACCUUCAGAGGGUGGUGCCUGGUAUAAGAAAAAUCACCCCUGGAAAAUAAGUUUUCUGGUUGACUGAUCGUUAUCAGAAAGAAAGGAUCAUAAAAUGUUAGCAGGCCCCUUGGCCAGAAGAUGAUGUAAAAACCCCUACGACCUUUUUGUAUACAUUUAUGUGAAGCACCUGAUUUUGAUAGAGGUCAGGACUGCUGACCCCCGCGUGACUUUAAAAUUUCCAUUUGUCUCUAUGUGUAACAAAAGGUAUAUAAGCAAACCUGAAAAUAAAGGAAACGGAUCAGUCUCUGGAAAGACUGAUUCCCCCAAGUCGUUCUUUCUUGUUCUCCGUUUUUCUGGCUGAAUUCCCAUCUGGAGCGUGAGUGCUUGCCAAGCCUGCUAAUUUUGCCCUGGUUUCUAAG